AGUGAACGCUGGCGGUAGGCCUAACACAUGCAAGUCGAACGGCAGCACAGGAGAGCUUGCUCUCUGGGUGGCGAGUGGCGGACGGGUGAGGAAUGCAUCGGAAUCUACUCUUUCGUGGGGGAUAACGUAGGGAAACUUACGCUAAUACCGCAUACGACCUACGGGUGAAAGCCGGGGACCUUCGGGCCUGGCGCGAAUGAAUGAGCCGAUGCCCGAUUAGCUAGUUGGCGGGGUAAGAGCCCACCAAGGCGACGAUCGGUAGCUGGUCUGAGAGGAUGAUCAGCCACACUGGAACUGAGACACGGUCCAGACUCCUACGGGAGGCAGCAGUGGGGAAUAUUGGACAAUGGGCGCAAGCCUGAUCCAGCCAUACCGCGUGGGUGAAGAAGGCCUUCGGGUUGUAAAGCCCUUUUGUUGGGAAAGAAAAGCAGUCGGUUAAUACCCGAUUGUUCUGACGGUACCCAAAGAAUAAGCACCGGCUAACUUCGUGCCAGCAGCCGCGGUAACAC
rnacentral:rRNA from 1 species